CUACGGGGGGCACCAGUGAGGAAUAUUGGACAAUGGUCGAAAGACUGAUCCAGCCAUGCCGCGUGCAGGAUGACUGCCCUAUGGGUUGUAAACUGCUUUUAUACGGGAAGAAAAACACCUACGUGUAGGUGACUGACGGUACCGUAAGAAUAAGGACCGGCUAACUCCGUGCCAGCAGCCGCGGUAAUACGGAGGGUCCAAGCGUUAUCCGGAAUCAUUGGGUUUAAAGGGUCCGUAGGCGGGCUAUUAAGUCAGAGGUGUAAGUUUGCAGCUCAACUGUAAAAUUGCCUUUGAUACUGAUAGUCUUGAAUUGUAGUGAAGUGGUUAGAAUAUGUGGUGUAGCGGUGAAAUGCAUAGAUAUCACAUAGAAUACCGAUUGCGAAGGCAGAUCACUAACUAUAUAUUGACGCUGAGGGACGAAAGCGUGGGGAGCGAACGGGAUUAGAUACCCCAGUAGUC
rnacentral:rRNA from 1 species